GUGAAUUUAGUUUUAAUAAAGACGUUCGGUUUGCAAUUGAAAAAUCCGAGUCCAUAAUUCUCGGGAUUCACAA
rnacentral:tRNA from 1 species